rnacentral:rRNA from 1 species
CACGUAGGGGGCAAGCGUUGUCCGGAAUUAUUGGGCGUAAAGAGCUUGUAGGCGGUUUGUCGCGUCUGCUGUGAAAAUCCGGGGCUCAACCCCGGACUUGCAGUGGGUACGGGCAGACUAGAGUGUGGUAGGGGAGACUGGAAUUCCUGGUGUAGCGGUGAAAUGCGCAGAUAUCAGGAGGAACACCGGUGGCGAAGGCGGAUCUCUGGGCCAUUACUGACGCUGAGGAGCGAAAGCGUGGGGAGCGAACAGG